rnacentral:tRNA from 1 species
GCCGGGUUGGCGGAAUCGGUAGACGCGAUGGUCUCAAACACCAUUGUCCGAAAGGAUGUGUGGGUUCGAGUCCCACACCCGGCACCA